CUGGUUUGCAUACAUGGUGAUCUCAAGGCUGUGUGCAAAUAUUGUGGGACACAACUUCACACCAAGUUUGGGACUACGAGUUUGAGAACCCAUAUUGUAGAGUCUUGCAAAUCAAUUGAGGAUGGUUGCAGGAAGAGUUUUCUGUUGACUACGAAAAAACAACUUCCGAAGGCCCGUUUUUGUUUGAUCAAAAAGUUUGUCGUGAUCUCAUGGUCAAGUUUUGCAUCCAUGCUGAGAUCCCCUUUCUUAAGUUUGAAGAUCCAUACCUUCAACCAUGGAUUGAAUCAAUGCAGCCAGCAUUUCAAGUCAUGGGUCGUCACACGAUUCACGAUGAUGUAG
rnacentral:rRNA from 1 species